GACCUCCACAUUUUGAACGCGGAUAAGGUGGUGCUGACUCGGGCUGCGGUGGACUAUUUGAAUGAAAGGUAUAGGGUUGAUGGGUAUGAGGGCGAAACCGAGGAUGAGUAUGAAGAGGAUGAAGGAGAAGAAAUUGAAGGAGCUGAGGCAGAUGAGAACUCGGAUGCAACGGAGUGAUGGUGCUGGGAGAGUUCUGACCACCUUAUUCCUUAUUAAGCGAGGACCGAUCUAAUUCCAACCCGGCUAAUCCUGAAGGGGUUUCCAGCCUGCCUAAAUCAGCAACCGUGUUAUUUUGCUGCUGCAAUGUUGUCAUAUUUCAUGCUGGUUUUGGUAAAUUUUCUGUGCAUGAUUUUUGUAUUAAUGUGCACAUUAAUUUAAUACAAUUGUAUUAUUCAUCAAAAAAAAAAAAAAUUAAUACAAUUGUAUCUACUGGAUCUUCUACCUUGUUGUGUAUUCAGAAUGUUGCUUCCUGGUUCAACUCUCCUCCCCUUUCAGAAUAUUGUUUUUCAAUAGGUAUCCCCCUUUUGCAGGCUAUUACUCUGUUAUGGAUUUUGUGGUUCUUAUCUCUGGUUGUUCUUGCUGUAGCUUGUUGGGCAAUCCUAUGGUUGUAGGAAAGUUCUCAUUUACAUUCUG